UUUAGCUAUUAUUUUCUUCCAGUGAAAUGGUAUUUCUUGAGAAAAAAAGGUCUUUGGAACAAAAUAACAAUAAAUCCUGAUUUAGAUACAUAAACCUGCCAUUGAUAUCACAUAAUAUCAGUGUUCUUUCUCACUCGAUACAGGCGUUUUAAAGAUAAAUGGUAAAACUGAACUGGAAAUCCAUCUGGCUGGCUGCCGGCUCUAAUGAAUAACCCCACUUUGGCGCGUGCAAUUGUACAGCUGACUUAACUCUUCCAUGCUUCAGUGUCCUUGUUUCUAAAGUGGAGCUCAUCUCAAAGUUUUCGAAACUGUGAAAGGAAUGAAUGCACAUUAAAUGGACACAAAGCAUUAGAGAAGUGAACAAAAACAAAAUGGCGGCUUUCCUGAAGUUCAAAGGCAUCUCUGAUACCAAAUGAAGACUGACAAUCCUCCUUUCCCUGAUGGGCACAAAGUACAGUGCUAAGUUAAAGGAAAGUGAAUC
rnacentral:lncRNA from 1 species